rnacentral:rRNA from 1 species
UACGUAGGGUGCGAGCGUUGUCCGGAAUUAUUGGGCGUAAAGAGCUCGUAGGCGGUGUGUCGCGUCGGCCGUGAAAACCUGCAGCUUAACUGUGGGCGUGCGGUCGAUACGGGCAUCACUGGAGUUCGGCAGGGGAGACUGGAAUUCCUGGUGUAGCGGUGAAAUGCGCAGAUAUCAGGAGGAACACCGGUGGCGAAGGCGGGUCUCUGGGCAGUAACUGACGCUGAGGAGCGAAAGCGUGGGGAGCGAACAGG